rnacentral:snRNA from 1 species
UUUCUGAAGACCUGAAGCUUCUU